rnacentral:ncRNA from 1 species
GUAUUGUACAAAAGGAGAGACGGUUAACACUCCCUUUGGUAAGGACGGAAUGUCCCCUGGGCCUCAACACACAUGCGUUUAAGGCAAAGCUCCGUACUCGGCGGGAAUUACCAAUUAUUUAU